GUGGUGAGGAGAUGGAUUUGAAGAAGCCAGAUUUUGAUAAAGAAGAUGAAUUGCUUGGGCUUCCUAAGGGCUGGGAUAGUGAAAACUGUAAAGAAGAGUCUUCUGCCACCGAUGGGAAAGCUACAAAAGGGAAGAUCUCUCUCAAGGACAAGGUGGAGCUUGAGAAAGAGAUGGAAGAGUACUACAAGUUGGACUAUGAGGACACUAUUGGAGAUCUGAAGACUCGGUUCAAGUAUAAGAAGGUUAAUCCCAACAGUUUUGGUCUUAGUACCUAUGAGAUAUUGGCAUCAGAUGACAAGGAUCUGAACCAGUACGUUUCCAUGAAGAAGCUAGCUCCUUACAGGGAGAGUGAAUGGAAGAUAACACAUCAUAGGAAGUUGAGCAAGGAUUUGAUCCUUGGUGGACAGAAGAAAGUAGGAAAGAAGGACAAAUCUGGCAAGAAAUCUGGGUCUGCCGAGGGCGGCCCUAGUUCUUCAAAACCAGAGAAAGACAAGCUGCCAAUUGAACAAGAGUUAACUGAUGACAAGAAAAAGUCUACCAGAAGCAGACGAAGGAAGCGCCGUAAUGAGGAUCUGAAGAUGUCUGCUGAUCGACUAGGAGCAUAUGGAAAGCUAAAUUCGAAGCGUCACAAGAGCCAUUGAGCUUUGGAGAUUCAUCAAAGUACAUCUAGGGAAUUUUGCUUCUCUUUUUAUGCAUUUUGGAGGGAGUGAAAUCUCAAUUAACGAGAGUCUUUGCUUCUACUUUGGGAGUUGCAAACUAGUGUAAUCCUCGUAGUCAUUUCUCUGAGUUUGCAGACAGUGUUGUGCACCUCCUUUCCUGAACCAUAUAAUUUAAUUGCCUUGAAGUUUGCUGCUACUAUGUUUUGUGUUACUGUCAUUUCCUCUUCUAAUUUGCUUGAAUUGUCAAAUUAUCCCAGUGAUGAAUUGGCAGAUGAACUCAUAUAUGCCUGUUGAACUGGCCUCAUACUAAUGUUGUUAUUGUGAAAUUCUAAUGGCAUGGCGCCUUAUCUGUUCAUGCCCACCUGAUGCUCGCACGCUUUGUGUGCAUGCCAUUUAUGUCUCAAUCUGAAUAUGUCAUGUUAAUUGAUAUAUCCAGAUAGAACCUACGGUGGUCCAAGGUGCUGCAAUAGCAAACCACUGCGGUGGUCAUUGCUCCAUGCAGUCUAGAAAAGUCAGAUUCCUUUGUUGCUUUUGCUCUCCUCUGCAACUGAAAACAAGUGUGCUACCUGUGCUGCUCGAAGCCCCUACCGUGUUGUGCGCCAUGAUCCCACAAAUCUACCCCGAUUUGAUGCUCCUGAGUUGGUUGCCUCAUCCAUUUCUCUGAGGAAUUUUCCAAUUUCUGCACAAGCAGCAAGUUAUGCAUUCCAGCUACUGGUUGUUGAGAGCUCAAUCUGUAGGUGAGUUCCUGUUUUGUUUGGCUUUCUGUUGAGAUUCUUGAUAUUUCUGCAUGGCGAUGAAGCAUUUUUAUUUAGGUGCUUAUCAUUCUGAUGUUUCUUUUAAAUUGAACUACAUGCUGUCGAGAAUGUUAUUAAUGUCGGGUCAUUAUCUGCAGAAAUGGAUCACAUGGAUGAGCAUGAGUGCAUGACAGUGAUGACAUGAAAGUAGGGGCAGAUGGUGCCUCUAGAUUCAGAAAGAAGAGGUCUAAAGUGUGGGACAAGUGCAAGCCCAUCUUUGUAGAUGGAGUGAUUCGGAGUUUCACAGGUGCUCAUGGCGUCCAAUGGUACAAGCCAUUUGUGGCGAUACAAAAAAUUUGCUGAGCAAAAGAUAAAUUCUGUCCAAGCCCACUGCAACAGGAUGCAGAUUUGCCAUACGGUAUGCUUUAGCUACUGACUAGCUCUUAGGAGAGAUGCCAAAUUUUAUUCCAACCAACUUAUAUGUUUGUAUGACAAAUUAGCAUGGGUGCUUUAGGCCUUUAUCAUUAGUUUGUAUUACUAUCUGUGCUUAUCUGUUUGAUGAUAUUUGUUCAUUCAUCACGGAAACAUUUUUUCAUGGUGAUUACCAUUUGGAGGAUAAAUAAUUUUGUUACAUUUUUUACUUUUAGUUCUCUAACCCUACUUUGAUGUUGUGAAGUAUAUUGUGGUUAGUGUCUCCUUAAUAUCUUUGCAUGCCGGACUUAAAGAGAAACAUUGUGAAACAGAGGGACAUACAAUAGAUUCUAUACACCUCAUUGAUCACUUAUUUUGCUUUUAUUGCAUAAAUUUCGUAGUUUGCUAGUUUGUGAGUUGUAUAAAGCUAUGCUCCUGCUUUUUUGUUCAUGCAAAAUUGUAUGUCUUCAAUAUUUUGUGCAUAUUUUGAAGGGAGAGACAUACUCAAACUUGUCCAGCAUGAAGUGGAAAUAUCACAAGUCGUCAGAAGGGUGUGCUGUUCCAGUGCAGUAUAUCAAAUUUUAAAUCCAGGCUUCAAGGUGAGCAUUCACCUGCCUUCACAAAUGGUAAGGUUCAGAUUGCAGAGUAUGCCAGGAAAGUUCCUCAAGGGCAGCUCUGAUGAUAACAGCCCUGUGGAAUGUCACAUUCUAGCUUUACCAGUGAUGGAUGAGAUGAAUUCCACAGAACAAUAUACCUCCAGCUCAGAUUGCUCCGGACAUAAGCUGGGAAUUUGACCAAGAAGCAUCUUAGCAUCUUAUCAAGAGUUAACUACAUGAUUAUUUCACAUGUCUAUCCCUUGUUAAUAGUUGAGCAUGAAUAAAAAUGACAAAGUUUGCAAAGAGAAUCCUGCAUUUAAUAUCGGUUGAAGCAUUUAUAUAGAAGAGUACUCAAUUCUUCUAUUUCAGAAUGAAAAGGUUGACCUUAAGUGAAAAAUUGCACUUUUAUCCCAUCAGAAUCAGAUUUCCUUAUCAGCAAGUGUGUGAGCUCCUCGUGGAGCUGAGGCCUUAGUGUGGUAUCUCCAUGCUGUCUAGAAAGUCAGAUUCCUUUGUUGCUGGAGCUCUCCCCUGCAACUGAAAAGAGGAGAGCCCCAUGGAAGUCCAAGCUGAGUGACAGCAGGUGACGGUCUAGAGCUCGGUUUGCUGCAAUCGGGUGGAGUACUGGAGUGUCUUGAACAGCUCCAACACAGCUUUACAUCCGGCAUUAGGUUUUCUGUUUCCCUGCUUUCAAAACAAUAGGUUUGAUAGUGAGCUUGCCUGAGACCUUCAGAUAUCUCACACAGACCAAAUUGAGCCAUUUAUGCAGCAACUUUUGUAACUGUCCUUGAGUUCCAAUAAGGAAAAAUAAUAUUAAUUUAUCCAUACAUCUGACGUUGACAGCUUAGAGCUUUGGGCUCCUUACAAAAAAUAAAAGGAACUCUGCGUGUUUGUGAUGCUGUCUGGUACACUGGAAUUUUACACUGAUGCAAGACAAGCCACAAAAAUGAACAAAAUUUUGCCUCACUAAGUGAAGACCGAUUCAAAGAAGCUCCUGAGCAGUAGCAACCAGGUCAACAAAAACCAUUGUGGCCUGACAUCCACUUCCAAUCACCCCAUUUGUAUAUUCUUGUCAUUUUGCCAUUAGCACAAAACAAAUGCUCAAUGGGUUUAUUCCAUCGUGUUGGUAGUUGCACAUGUCCCUUUCUUCUAUCGUCACCAUCUUCAGCACCCCACGUUACUCUAUUUAUAUGCCCUCUCCCAUCUCAGUUUGCUCCUACAUUGAUCAUAGUCAAGCUGCUUAUAUGAUAUGGUACAUCCCUUUCUACUGCCAACUGCUGCUCCUAAUUUCUGUCCUGCUGUUUCCCUAUCUUCUUGUUCCCAGAGAAACAUACUGAUUGUUGCGCUCUAGUUUUUUCUUGUACGGAACACACUGAUUGUUGCUGGCUUGCUACCAAUUUUCCAGUUCUUGUGGCCACUCAAUCAGCAUCUGGUACUAGUAUUCAGUUCCUUGCAUAAACUUGCUGUGCAAUGUCCAAGACUGAGAGCAGAAAGCUGUCCGAUGACUAUGAAGUUGUGGAUGUCCUCGGCCGAGGUGGGUUCUCGAUAGUGAGAAGGGGAGUGAGCAAGUCAGAAGGGAAGACCCAGGUUGCCAUAAAGACCCUGCGAAGGCUUGGUCCGGCGAUGAUGGGGACGAAGCAAGGGUCAAAGGGUGGCCUCCCAAUGUGGAAGCAGGUAUCCAUCUCUGACGCGCUGCUCACCAACGAGAUUCUCAUCAUGAGGAGGAUAGUCGAGAACGUCGCGCCACACCCCAACGUUAUCGGCCUUCAUGAUGUGUAUGAGGAUGUGCAUGGAGUGCACCUGAUCCUCGAGCUGUGCUCAGGUGGUGAAUUGUUCGAUAGGAUAGUGGGGCGUGACCGGUACUCGGAAUUUGAUGCGGCAGCUGUAGUUCGUCAGAUUGCGAGAGGCUUGGAGGCUCUUCAUAAGGCAAACAUCAUACACAGGGACUUGAAGCCAGAGAAUUGCCUGUUCUCUGACAAAAAUGAGGAUUCCACAUUGAAGAUCAUGGAUUUUGGUUUGAGUUCUGUUGAAGAUUUCAGUGACCCGAUUGUGACUCUGUUUGGGUCGAUAGAUUAUGUUUCACCAGAAGCUCUCUCAAGGCAAGAUGUUUCAGCUGCAAGUGAUAUGUGGUCUGUUGGGGUAAUACUGUACAUCCUUUUAUCUGGGUAUGUUUGAUAACUCUUCAUUGUGAUUCCCUUGUUUAUUUUUUUGCUCAUAGUUUGAAGGAUUUUACUUUGUGUAUUUCAGAUGCCCACCAUUUCAUGCUGCAACUAAUCGAGAAAAGCAGCAAAGGAUCCUGCAAGUAAGUCAUUAUUGUAGCUAACCUCUGGACAUAAUGCUGUUAUAUUAUUUGAGUUUGGUGGUGUUAGGAACUCUCCAGUGAUUCAUAUUUUGAUGUAUUCACCUUUUGAGCAUUUCUACAACCUUCUCUGACAAUAUGGAACACGUUGGCUCAGUUGUAGUGGGAAUGGGAGUUCAAUCAAUUUCUCUAAAAAACACUUUCCAUUUUCUAACAAAACCAGAAUCAUUUGGCAUCACUAGUCACACGUCAUAUUCAUGGAUGCGAUGUAAUUUAGACUUACAUUCACUGCUGCCUCAAUAGACUAUCUUCUAUAUGCUCUUCCAACCUAAAUUACAUUUAGAAGAUGAGAUUACCUAGUAGGAACUAGGUAAUUUAGGCAUAGCUCUGAACCUUCUGUCAUCUGGUUUGGAGCAACUGUGCACAGCAUGGUAACAGUUCUGUCAAUCAGUGCUGAAUUGUCUUCUUCUGGUAGCUAUCGGCACCUGAAUUUUAAUUUGUCCUGUUUCGAUGGCUAAGUUUUCUUGAGGCAAAUGGGACUUGCUUUUUCCUGGGUGUAAAAUAUUUCUCCUGAGUACAAACUGACCGUUCCAAUCCAAUUGCUCAGAAAAAAAAACAAAACGUAAGUCGAGUCCAAGAGGUUAGACAAAACUGCGUCAAAAUCUUCUUAAAAUGGAACAGAGUUAAACAAAAAAAAAGAA
rnacentral:lncRNA from 1 species